rnacentral:rRNA from 1 species
GAGAAUUGAGGGGGGCUGCUCCUAGUACGAGAGGACCGGAGUGGACGCAUCACUGGUGUUCGGGUUGUCAUGCCAAUGGCACUGCCCGGUAGCUAAAUGCGGAAGAGAUAAGUGCUGAAAGCAUCUAAGCACGAAACUUGCCCCGAGAUGAGUUCUCCCUGAGACUUUAAGUCUCCUGAAGGAACGUUGAAGACGACGACGUUGAUAGGUCGGGUGUGUAAGCGCAGCGAUGCGUUGAGCUAACCGAUACUAAUGAACCGUGAGGCUUAACCUU